AUGCUGUCUAUUUUCUGUCUAGACGCAGAGCCCCUCCCACACAUACCUGUGGUGGAGAUAUUUUCAGACGAUGAGGAAGAGGAUCGGGUACCACAGUUCCCCCUCAAAGUGGUUAACUGGAUUAAGAAUGUUAUUCCUCAGCCUGUGAUGCUCCCUGCAGGUUACGUAGAGGCCCAGAGUAAGGCUCAGAGCAAGAGGUCAUCUCUUGACAAAGUUUUGUCGCCACCUCCUGAGUCUCUCAAAGGUGACGAGGACUCACAAAACUCCAAUGUCGUGGGCUGGUUUGUGACGGGCCUCGGCCUCAAGAUGCCACAGCCUGUCGCGAGAUCAAGAGAUGACGUUGAAGUUGUGCAGAAUAGUAAGUGUUUAUUAUUUAUUUAUUUAUUUUUUACAUUUCUCUUCCCUUCAAACUGAUGUCCCAGUUCAAAAUAAAAUCAGAUCUUAAAUCACAUAAUAGACUCACAUUCUAUUUCAUUUAUUUAAUUGUAUUUUUUAUUAUUUCUUCUAUAUUCCAUAAAGUGUUAAAGAACCGGAGAGACCGUAACCCUCUCCUUCUGUUGGUCCGUUUCAGACAGACCCUAACUCAGUCCAUCUUCUGUUGGUCUGUUUCAGACAGACCCUACCUAACUCAGUCCAUCUUCUGUUGGUCUGUUUCAGACAGACCCUAACUCAGUCCAUCUUCUGUUGUUCUGUUUCAGACAGACCCUAACUCAGUCCAUCUUCUGUUGGUCUGUUUCAGACAUACCCUAACUCAGUCCAUCUUCUGUUGGUCUGUUUCAGACAGAUCCUAACUCAGUCCAUCUUCUGUUGGUCUGUUUCAGACAGACCCUAACUCAGUCCAUCUUCUGUUGGUCCAUUUUAGACAGACCGUAACUUAGUCCAUCUUCUGUUCGUCCAUUUUAGACAGACCCUAACUCAGUCCAUCUUCUGUUGGUCUGUUUCAGACAGACCCUACCUAACUCAGUCCAUCUUCUCUUGGUCUGUUUCAGACAGACCCUAACUCAGUCCAUCUUCUGUUGGUCUGUUUCAGACAGACCCUAACUCAGUCCAUCUUCUGUUGGUCCGUUUUAGACAGACCCUAACUCAGUCCAUCUUCUGUUGGUCUGUUUCAGACAGACCCUAACUCAGUCCAUCUUCUGUUGGUCUGUUUCAGACAGACCUUAACUCAGUCCAUCUUCUGUUGGUCUGUUUCAGACAGAGCCUAACUCAGUCCAUUUUCUGUUGGUCUGUUUCAGACAGACCUUAACUCAGUCCAUCUUCUGUUGGUCUGUUUCAGACAGAGCCUAACUCAGUCCAUCUUCUCCUACUGACAUAGAUGAUUGUGGACAUUUAUACAGCUCAACUGAUCAACCCGGUAGCUGUGAGACAUUACUUGAAAAGAAAUUGAACUCCCC
rnacentral:lncRNA from 13 species